GAGAAACACUGAGACCUCUAAGCCUUGUUACCAAGAAUGUCUCCUGUCAUGGCCUCCCAGAAACUAAAGAGGAGCAAUUGGGAGUGUUCUCAGCAUUAAGUCUUUGUGCAGACAAGGGGAGUGGCAGGGAGAGAGGUCUCUGCCUGGACAUUUUAUUAAAUGGGCCCUGGGGGAAGCACAGAUCCACAUCAUCCCAGAUGAACCCAUGACCCUGCACAAUAGAGACCUGAGAGGCAGAUGUGUGGUGCCUUUGACUUGGAAAACUUUUCUGCCAUGGCUCCCAUUUCACCCAAGUUUGGUACCAUUUUUCAAGUUUAGUCAUCCAUUCACCUUGGAGGCCCAGACUUUUCUCAUCUCCCCUUGUAAAGGACAUGCUGGCUGGCUGGCUGCUUUCUUCUGGAGCCCUUGGUUUCUUAAACGAUAAUGAAUGAAAGAUCCAAAUCUGUCCCACACAGGUAAUCUUUGCCA
rnacentral:lncRNA from 1 species